rnacentral:lncRNA from 1 species
GGGAUGAAUAGUUUUGGUCCCUUGUUAAUAAGAGGAAUGUGUCCUUUCAGUCUCUCUGUAGGAGAAGACACAGCACAACUGAUAUCAGCUGAUAAUUCUACCAUGACUGCUCCACCAUCGAAUUCAACAUCUAACCAGACUUCUGCCCCAGCUGCCAUCCAGACUACUGGCUCAGCUGCUAACCAAACUUCUGCCCAAACUACCAUCCAGACGACUCCCUCUGCUGCUUCUACUUCUACUGUCCAAUCGACGACGUCCAGUGCUCCGCAAAUCAUACCAAACAUUGUCUUCACCACCAACGAGAACUUCACCACCGACCUGUUAAACUCCAGCUCAGCCGCUUUCCAGAAUCGGUCCAUCAAGAUCAAGCAGCUCGAACCGUUCAUCCGCUCCGCCUUCCCGAGCUUCAACAGCCUGACCCUGGUCAGCUGCAGCUCAGGCUCGAUCGUCCACAACACGAGUGCGGCAUUCGGGGCCAACGUCACCGUCCCCAACAUCACCAGCAUCUACAGCGUCAUCAGCAACGCAGCGAAGAACCUGACCGCCACCCUGCCCAUCACCUUCGUGAACGGGAUCGCCGUCAACUCGGCGGGGACCGCCAGGACGAGCCUGCUGGCCGCUCCCUGCCUGGUCGUCAAAUUUUAUAUCAUGGUGAUCACCUACAAUACAACUACAAUACUUGCUGUCCCCUCCCCUUCUGUCACCGCCACGGGGCUUUAAAUGGACAAAUGAACUGAUUAGAAAGCAGGGACGUAUGCGACUUCAGGGACACGUGUCUGACUGUGAUUGUUGUCUUCGUUGUUGUAUUAUUUUAUGAUAUUAUUGCUGACUUGUGAAGCUGUGUAAAAAUCACAAUAAACUUUUGAAAUUUGCUCCUUAAUUGAUCGGU